rnacentral:tRNA from 1 species
UAGAGAAUAGUAAAAGUGGAAUAACAGAGGGUUUUGAUCUCUCAGUUGUAGGUUCGACUCCUACUUCUUUAA